GAGUAGCGUAUAUUAAAGUUGUUGCAUUUAAAAAGCUCGUAGUUGGUGCUACGCUUCUUGCAGUUUUGUGCUUGGGCGCAAUUUCUGUUGGAGCUGUUAAGUGGGUUGGAAGGCCCUGAGACACUGUGAAUAAACCAAAGUGAUCCAAACAGGCUUGGCUUAAAUGUUCCAGCAUGGUAUGGGUUCUCGAUUACGCUCGGUUUCUUUGUUGGAGUCUGAAGCGAAAUAAAGGUUAAGAGAGACAGAUGAUGGAAUUCGUAUUGAGUUGUUAGAGGUGAAAUUCUUAGACCAAUUCAAGACGUUCAGAAGCGAAAGCGUUUUUCACGUAUGCUCUUUUUAA
rnacentral:rRNA from 1 species